GAUGAACGCUGGCGGCGUGCCUAAUACAUGCAAGUCGAGCGAACGGACGAGAAGCUUGCUUCUCUGAUGUUAGCGGCGGACGGGUGAGUAACACGUGGAUAACCUACCUAUAAGACUGGGAUAACUUCGGGAAACCGGAGCUAAUACCGGAUGAUAUUUUGAACCGCAUGGUUCAAAAGUGAAAAACGGUCUUGCUGUCACUUAUAGAUGGAUCCGCGCUGCAUUAGCUAGUUGGUAAGGUAACGGCUUACCAAGGCAACGAUGCAUAGCCGACCUGAGAGGGUGAUCGGCCACACUGGAACUGAGACACGGUCCAGACUCCUACGGGAGGCAGCAGUAGGGAAUCUUCCGCAAUGGGCGAAAGCCUGACGGAGCAACGCCGCGUGAGUGAUGAAGGUCUUCGGAUCGUAAAACUCUGUUAUUAGGGAAGAACAUAUGUGUAAGUAACUGUGCACAUCUUGACGGUACCUAAUCAGAAAGCCACGGCUAACUACGUG
rnacentral:rRNA from 1 species